AUUCUGUUUGAUAACGGAGUCCAUAGUGUGUAUCUGAAAUAGAAAAGGUUUAGAUGUGUUGGAGUUGAGGAAAUUAAGGAAUCAACAAUCUGGUCUGUGAUGUCACCAUGAAGAUAGAACUGUACAGGCAAGGAGGACUGCUGAACCAGAGCCAGAGUCUCAGAAGGCAACUACAGCACACUGGUGGAUGAGGGUCCUGUGGUACCUGUGGGCAAGCUCAAAUAACACAGCCUUGGGCAAGUAUGCCGGAGGAUCUUAUUCCAUAGCCUGAGCAGUUGAUGAAGAAGAGCCAUCCAGAUGGUUCAACUGUUAAGCCCCUGCCUGAUUCAGGCCUAACUCCAUCUAUCUCAGUUCCACUUCAAAUUGCCUGUCUUGAGACUUACUGAACUCUACUAGCAUUCAAGCCUGCUCACCACCUACCUCUUACUGCAUCUGACUUCACUACUCCAUUGCUUCCUGUGGCCUGUUGACAGUCAUUUAGUUUCUGUGUUUCCCAUUCAAUAGCAUCUCUGUUUCAGUCCCCGGUAGAGCCUGGUGGAAACUUGGAAGAGAGGAGAGCACAUAAAUGAAAA